AGAGUUUGAUCAUGGCUCAGGACGAACGUUGGCGGCGCGCUUAAUGCAUGCAAGUCGAACGAGAAACCAUCCUUCGGGAUGGUGGACAGUGGCAAACGGCUGAGUAACGCGUGAGGGACCUGCCCUAGAGUGGGGAAUAGCCCCGAGAAAUCGGGAUUAAUACCGCAUACGCUCUUUCUCUUAGAGGGGAAAGAGGAAAGAUUUAUUGCUCUUGGAGGGACUCGCGUCCUAUCAGGUAGUUGGUGGGGUUAUGGCCUACCAAGCCUUAGACGGAUAGCUGGUGUGAGAGCACGACCAGCCAGAGGGGGACUGAGACACGGCCCCCACUCCUACGGGAGGCAGCAGCAGGAAAUCUUGCACAAUGGGCGAAAGCCUGAUGCAGCGACGCCGCGUGAGGGAUGAAGGCUCUAGGGUUGUAAACCUCUUUUAUCAGGGAAGAGCAAGGACGGUACCUGAGGAAUAAGCCACGGCUAACUACGUGCCAGCAGCCGCGGUAAUACGUAGGUGGCAAACGUUGUCCGGAAUUACUGGGCGUAAAGGGCUCGUAGGCGGUCCAACAAGUCGUUUGUGAAAUCUCCCGGCUCAACUGGGAGUGGUCGAGCGAAACUGUUGGACUUGAGGAUGUCAGAGGAAGACGGAAUUCCCGGUGUAGUGGUGAAAUGCGUAGAUAUCGGGAGGAACACCAGUGGCGAAAGCGGUCUUCUGGGGCAUUUCUGACGCUGAGGAGCGAAAGCGUGGGGAGCAAACCGGAUUAGAUACCCGGGUAGUCCACGCCCUAAACGAUGGAUGCUAGGUCUUGGGGGUAUCGACCCCCUCUGGGCCAAAGCUAACGCGUUAAGCAUCCCGCCUGGGGACUACGGCCGCAAGGCUAAAACUCAAAGGAAUUGACGGGACCCCGCACAAGCAGCGGAGCGUGUGGUUUAAUUCGAUGCUAAGCGAAGAACCUUACCAGGGCUUGACAUGCAUGUAGUAUCGAUCCGAAAGGUGAGAGACCCGUAAGGGAGCUUGCACAGGUGUUGCAUGGCUGUCGUCAGCUCGUGCCGUGAGGUGUUGGGUUAAGUCCCGCAACGAGCGCAACCCUCAUGAUCAGUUGCUUUUUCUGGUCAGACUGCCCGCAAGGGAGGAAGGUGGGGACGACGUCAAGUCAUCAUGACUCUUACGUCCUGGGCUACACACACGCUACAAUGGCCGGUACAGACGGUUGCUAAGCCGCAAGGUGGAGCUAAUCCGAAAAAGCCGGCCCCAGUUGGAAUUGCAGGCUGAAACCCGCCUGCAUGAACGUGGAGUUGCUAGUAACCGCAGGUCAGCACACUGCGGUGAAUACGUUCCCGGGGUUUGUACACACCGCCCGUCACGUCAUGGAAGUCGGAAGCGCUUGAAGUCGCUGGGCUAACCUCGAUUUAUCGAGGAGGCAGGCGCCGAGGGUGAAGCCGAUGACUGGGACGAAGUCGUAACAAGGUA
rnacentral:rRNA from 1 species